rnacentral:RNase_P_RNA from 1 species
CGGGUGAGCCCGGUGAUCGCCGGUUCCGAGCAAUCGGGACGGGAGGAAAGUCCGGACUCCAGCUGUGGUGAACUCGAAAGAGCCGGCCACGGUAGGGCAACGCGCCUGGUAACGCCAGGGGGUUGCGCCACGGGACGCGUGAAAACGUAUUCUGGCGGCGCGGCUACGGAAAGUGCCACAGAAAACAAACCGCCGGUGAUGCUUGCACCUCGGCGGCAGGCUUUCGGAAAAACCGGGAGCCCGCCUGUUUCGGUCGAGCGCAUUUGGCAAGGGUGAAAAGGUGGGGUAAGAGCCCACCGCCCGGGUGGCGACAUCCGGGGCACGGAAAACCCCGCGUGGAGCAAGGCCAAAUAGGAGGGGAGGGCUGGCCCAGCCCGUAUGCGUUUCGCUCGCAAGAGCGGGCGCUGCGACCCUCGGGUAGGCUGCUUGAGUCCCGGAGCGAUCCGGGACCUAGAGGAAUGAUCGCCGCGCUGCACUCGAUGAGGCUGGGAUGUUCUUCCCAGCGGAGUCGGGCGAAGCGGACAGAAUCCGGCUUACAGGCUCACCCGCCAC